AAAGAAACCAACAGGGAUUGCCCUAGUAACGGCGAGUGAAGCGGCAACAGCUCAAAUUUGAAAUCUGGCGCAAGCCCGAGUUGUAAUUUGUAGAGGAUGUUUCUGGCGACGUGCCUUCCGAGUUCCCUGGAACGGGACGCCAUAGAGGGUGAGAGCCCCGUACGGUUGGAUGCCUAGCCUCUGUGAAACUCCUUCGACGAGUCGAGUAGUUUGGGAAUGCUGCUCUAAAUGGGAGGUAUACGUCUUCUAAAGCUAAAUACCGGCCAGAGACCGAUAGCGCACAAGUAGAGUGAUCGAAAGAUGAAAAGCACUUUGAAAAGAGGGUUAAAAAGUACGUGAAAUUGUUGAAAGGGAAGCGUUCAUGACCAGACUUGGGCAGGUUGAUCAUCCGUGGUUCUCCGCGGUGCACUCUGCCUGCCCAGGCCAGCAUCAGUUCGUCCCGGGGGAUAAAGGCUUUGGGAAUGUGGCUCCUUCGGGAGUGUUAUAGCCCAUUGUGUAAUACCCUGGGGUGGACUGAGGUUCGCGCUCUGCAAGGA
rnacentral:rRNA from 1 species